rnacentral:lncRNA from 1 species
AUUAGAACACAAGCAGGAGGAAGGUCAAACUAUGGUAUCAGCUGAGAAGAAAGGACUCCUAUGAACCAACGAAGCAUUAGUGUAGAGGGGAUAAGGACAGAAGCCAUUUAACAUCAAAACAGCAGUAGAUGAUUCACUAGCUUGUACUUGUUGAUGCCAGCACUGUGGAAUGUAAGACUUUUGUAGGUCACAAUAAAUGCCAUAGUCUUCCAUGCUGAACACAAAUCUGAAGUAGCAGCAGCACUUUGAUGUAUCGCUGGAGACAUAUUGUUGAGAUUGCAUCAUUCUUGAUUUGAGAUACGGAACAUAUCUGAAGCGCGUUGCACAUCAAAUAAGAAAUAGAUUGAACUAUGUUGAUAUGCAACUGAGAGGUACUGAGAUGAACAGACGCAUUGGAUGAGCUUCUUCGAUAAAACAUCAAUCACGAUGAAAACAAUAACCCAACAACGAUAAAAAUAAAAUAUAAAUUUUAAAAUUUUUUAACAUAUAUAUAAUAUUAAUAAUUAAAUUUAAUAAUUAAACUUAUCCAUCAGAACUCAAAAAACCUUAGAAACUCCUUGAUGAUUAUAAUCAAAUCACAAAAACAUACAUAUAAGGAGAAAAUCAGAAGUCAUAUACCACCAUGAAGACCACGAACUGAUGAUUUUGAGAUCUUCACGAGACUCCAAAGCAGAAGCCCUCCAAUAGUGAUCCAUACAGGAUUAAUCAGGACCCUUCCUAACUCGUCGUAGUGCUGCAGCCUUCUUCCUAAGUGCGCUACUGUUAGUCCUUUGUAAGAACUCGAUGCACCAUUGUUUGUAUGCUUUCAUGACCUCCACUAGGACCACUCUAGAAACCCUUUUCCAAAGGAUCUCACCACACUCUAAUCAGAUUUUAUGUUCAACACAUAAACAAUUUGAUUUUAGGACAAGUAUCUUAUACUUUCCUUUUUUCUUUUCCUUUCCUUUCUAUUUUUUUCUCCUUUUUUUCUUUAUCUUUUUUUCAGAUUUUUUUUAUUUUUUUUCCUCAUU